GACGAACGCUGGCGGCGCGCUUAACACAUGCAAGUCGAGCGAGAACCAGGACUUCGGUCCUGGGGACAGCGGCGAACGGGUGAGUAACACGUGGAUAACCUGCCCUCGGCACCCGGGAUAGCCCGAGGAAACUCGGAUUAAUACCGGAUAGCCCUUCCGACUCUCGAGUCGGUCCGAAAAGGUAGCUUCGGCCUCUGGCCGAGGAUGGGUCCGCGGCGGAUUAGCUUGUUGGUGGGGUAACGGCCUACCAAGGCANCGAUCCGUAGCUGGUCUGAGAGGACGAUCAGCCACACUGGGACUGAGACACGGCCCAGACUCCUACGGGAGGCAGCAGUGGGGAAUCUUGCGCAAUGGGCGAAAGCCUGACGCAGCGACGCCGCGUGAGGGAAGAAGGCCUGG
rnacentral:rRNA from 1 species